rnacentral:rRNA from 1 species
UACGGGGCGCACCAGGCGCGAAAACUCUGCAAUGCGGGCAACCGUGACGGGGUUACCCCAAGUGCUCCCGUUACGGGGGCUUUUCCCCGCUGUAAGGAGGCGGGGGUAAUAAGCGGGGGGCAAGUCUGGUGUCAGCCGCCGCGGUAAUA